rnacentral:rRNA from 1 species
AAUUUUGGACAAUGGGGGAAACCCUGAUCCAGCAAUGCCGCGUGCAGGAUGAAGGCCUUCGGGCUGUAAACUGCUUUUGUACGGAACGAAAAGUCUUGGGCUAAUACCCUGGGAUCAUGACGGCACAGUAAGAAUACGCAGUGGCUAACUACGUGCCAGCAGUCGCGGUAAUACGUAGGGUGCAAGCGUUAAUCGGAAUUACUGGGCGUAAAGCGUGCGCAGGCGGUUUUGUAAGACAGUGGUGAAAUCCCCGGGCUCAACCUGGGAACUGCCAUUGUGACUGCAAGGCUGGAGUGCGGCAGAGGGGGAUGGAAUUCCGCGUGUAGCAGUGAAAUGCGUAGAUAUGCGGAGGAACACCGAUGGCGAAGGCAAUCCCCUGGGCCUGCACUGACGCUCAUGCACGAAAGCGUGGGGAGCAAACAGG